GCUUUGACACCGAAUUUUGGUUCGCACGGAGUUUCCGUGGGAUUAAAAGGGAAUCCGGUGCAAAACCGGAGCUGUUCCCGCAACUGUAAGUAUGUGCCGAAUCGGCACUGAUGUUUUUUGAGCAUCAGUACGUAGUAGGCGAUUGUCUCUUCUUCAAAGCCACUGCCCAAUGGGUGGGAAGGUAGGAGACAAAACACAAGCCAGGAGACCUGCCAGAUUCAAACAAACAAU
rnacentral:ncRNA from 2 species